rnacentral:rRNA from 15 species
CUGACAGGCGUGCGAGUCGAUGGGUGUGGAAACCUGGAAGGCACAAGGAAGCUAACGGGCGGGAACCCUCUCGAGGGGUUGCACCGCCAACCGACCCCGAUCUUAUGUGAAGGGUUCGAGUUGGAGCAUGCAUGUCGGGACCCGAAUGAUGGUGAACUAUGCCUAAGCGAUGCGAAGCCAGAGGAAACUCUGGUGGAGGCUCGAAGCGAUACUGACGUGAAAAUCAUUCGUCUGACUUGGGUAUAGGGGCGAAAGAGUAAUCGAACCAUCUAGUAGCUGG